UACGAAGGGAUGCAAACGUUGCUCGGAAUUGAUUGGGCGUAAGCGCACGUAGGCGGCUUAGCAAGUUGGAUGUGAAAGUCCCUCGGCUCAACCAAGGAAGUGCAUCCAAAACUGCUGAGCUUGAGUACUUAAGAGGAUCGCGGAAUUCCCGGUGUAGAGGUGAAAUUCGUAGAUAUCGGGAGGAACACCAGUGGCGAAGGCGGCGAUCUGGGAAGAUACUGACGCUGAGGUGCGAAAGCGUGGGGAGCAAACAGG
rnacentral:rRNA from 1 species